rnacentral:rRNA from 1 species
UUUGAUCCUGGCUCAGGACGAACGCUGGCGGCGUGCCUAAUACAUGCAAGUAGAACGCUGAAGAGAGGAGCUUGCUCUUCUUGGAUGAGUUUGCGAACGGGUGAGUAACGCGUAGGUAACCUGCCUGGUAGCGGGGGAUAACUAUUGGAAACGAUAGCUAAUACCGCAUGAAAUUGCUUAUCGCAUGAUAAUUAAUUGAAAGAUGCAAUUGCAUCACUACCAGAUGGACCUGCGUUGUAUCAGCUAGUUGGUGAGGUAACGGCUCACCAAGGCGACGAUACAUAGCCGACCUGAGAGGGUGAUCGGCCACACUGGGACUGAGACACGGCCCAGACUCCUACGGGAGGCAGCAGUAGGGAAUCUUCGGCAAUGGGGGGAACCCUGACCGAGCAACGCCGCGUGAGUGAAGAAGGUUUUCGGAUCGUAAAGCUCUGUUGUAAGAGAAGAACGGGUGUGAGAGUGGAAAGUUCACACUGUGACGGUAUCUUACCAGAAAGGGACGGCUAACUACGUGCCAGCAGCCGCGGUAAUACGUAGGUCCCGAGCGUUGUCCGGAUUUAUUGGGCGUAAAGCGAGCGCAGGCGGUUAGAUAAGUCUGAAGUUAAAGGCUGUGGCUUAACCAUAGUAUGCUUUGGGAACUGUUUAACUUGAGUGCAGAAGGGGAGAGUGGAAUUCCAUGUGUAGCGGUGAAAUGCGUAGAUAUAUGGAGGAACACCGGUGGCGAAAGCGGCUCUCUGGUCUGUAACUGACGCUGAGGCUCGAAAGCGUGGGGAGCAAACAGGAUUAGAUACCCUGGUAGUCCACGCCGUAAACGAUGAGUGCUAGGUGUUAGGCCCUUUCCGGGGCUUAGUGCCGCAGCUAACGCAUUAAGCACUCCGCCUGGGGAGUACGACCGCAAGGUUGAAAACUCAAAAGGAAUUGACGGGGGCCCGCACAAGCGGUGGAGCAUGUGGUUUAAAUUCGAAGCAAACGCGAAGAACCUUACCAGGUCUUGACAUCCCUCUGACCGCUCUAGAGAUAGAGUUUUCCUUCGGGACAGAGGUGACAGGUGGUGCAUGGUUGUCGUCAGCUCGUGUCGUGAGAUGUUGGGUUAAGUCCCGCAACGAGCGCAAACCCCUAUUGUUAGUUGCCAUCAUUGAGUUGGGCACUCUAGCGAGACUGCCGGUAAUAAACCGGAGGAAGGUGGGGAUGACGUCAAAUCAUCAUGCCCCUUAUGACCUGGGCUACACACGUGCUACGAAUGGCUGGUACAACGAGUCGCGAAGCCGGUGACGGCGAAGCUAAUCUCUGAAAGCCGGUCUCGGUUUCGGAUUGUAGGCUGCGAACUCGCCUACAUGAAAGUCGGAAAUCGCUAGUAAUCGCGGAUCAGCGACGCCGCGGUGAAAUACGUUUCCCGGGCCUUGCACACACCGCCCGU